AUGUUGUGGUUAUCAAAACAUUACGUCAAAUCUUUGAACCCUAACAAUGACGGCGAGUUGGUGGUGAAGGGAAUCAAGAGGAUGAAGCAGACAAGACCGACGAUGGAGGUGAGGCGGAAGAUGAACAGCGACAGCAAGAAGAACGACGACGGAAGGAGACAGCGGAACGGCAAGAAAAAUGGGUCGGCGGAGAAGAGAAGAACGGCUGAAAUAGUGUUUUCUGAGAAAGUGAGAAACUAA